rnacentral:lncRNA from 1 species
GAGUGAUUUAGUUCUUAAAAGCGGUUAAUUAUAGAAUUAUGGUUAGAAUAUGGAGAAUCAGGGAAAGUAUAUAGAAGUUGUAGAAGUUAAUUAAAGUGCCAUCGUUGUGUUAGUUGUGAGCCGGGGUAAGCUUGGUGCUACUUCUUUUCUUUUGUUUGUUAUUUUCUUUGAAUAAGAGGAUUGAGAGUUUCUGAAUAUUGUAAAGUGAAUUAUGGAAUGGAAAUGUGAUUGGUAUUAUUUG